UAUGAGUAAUUUCUAAUUCUUUGCUCAUGGGGUCUCUCUGCAAGGAGUUUGUUGGGGGAGGAGAAGGUAUCAUACAGAAUUCUUUUCUAGAAAUAAUUUGAUUUUAUUUUUCGAUCCCAUCCUUAGGGUAAACAUUGUGGUCUGUGGUAGCAGAAAACCAGAAAACAUCUGGUAGCGCCUUUUCUGACUAGCACAUUUUAUUAAAAAAAGUAUAAGAUCACAAAAGCUUAUGCCUUUUAAUAAAAUGUGUUAGUUGGAGAAGAUGUUAUCAGACAUCCUCUGGUACUUAUGUCAGAAAAUGACUUCCCAUUUUCCAAGAAGAGAAUGGAAUUAGAAAGUGGAGUGGUCCUUCUCAUCCUGGUUGUGUUCUUUGCUGCUAUUAUCUCAACCAACAUAGGAGGACGAGGGAGGAGAAAGGGGGAAAAAUAUCAUUCAAGGCUGGAAAUAAAUCUUGACUUUGCUGUGGCAAGGAAAUGCUCUUGGAAUUGAACAAAGCACCAUUAGCAAUCCGGAGGAUCACAACACUUCAGGUCAUUGGCAUGAAAUGGUGAUGCCCCUGGAUGAGACUGAUCUGGGUAGCAGUGGCAUGGAUGAAAAUUCAAGUAAGAAAUAGACUAUAUGUUCUGAGGGCUUGCAAUCUUGUCUACCAAACUGACAUCUGCUUCAGGGCAAGCAUUUUGCUGUGCCAUUCUGCAAUCUGUGUCUUCGUCCAAGAUGGUUUUUCAACUUCCUAGUUCACUUUACAGCUCCGAGAUAUCUUGGGGAACUCCCAUACAAGUACUAACUAGGUCAGAGCUUGUUUAACUUUUCUGGGAUCAGCCUCAGUUGGGUAACACAUACUCUGUGCUGUUAAUGACAGUGUAUGCAGAAUUUGAAUCCAU